GAUUAGUGGCGCACGGGUGAGUAACGCAUAGGUUAUGUGCCUCUUAGUUUGGGAUAGCCAUUGGAAACGAUGAUUAAUACCAGAUACUCCCUACGGGGGAAAGAUUUAUCGCUAAGAGAUCGGGCCUAUGUCCUAUCCAGCUUGUUGGUAAGGUAAUGGCUACCAAGGCUAUGACGGGUAUCCGGCCUGAGAGGGUGAACGGACACACUGGAACUGAGACACGGUCCAGACUCCUACGGGAGGUAGCAGUAGGGAGUAUUGCUCAAUGGGGGAAACCCUGAAGCAGCAACGCCGCGUGGAGGAUGAAGGUUUUAGGAUUGUAAACUCCUUUUGUUAGAGAAGGUAAUGACGGUAUCUAACGAAUAAGCACCGGCUAACUCCGUGCCAGCAGCCGCGGUAAUACGGAGGGUGCAAGCGUUACUCGGAAUCACUGGGCGUAAAGAGCGCGUAGGCGGGAUAGUCAGUCAGGUGUGAAAUCCUAUGGCUUAACCAUAGAACUGCAUUUGAAACUACUAUUCUAGAGUGUGGGAGAGGUAGGUGGAAUUCUUGGUGUAGGGGUAAAAUCCGUAGAGAUCAAGAGGAAUACUCAUUGCGAAGGCGACCUGCUGGAACAUUACUGACGCUGAUUGCGCGAAAGCGUGGGGAGCAAACAGGAUUAGAUACCCUGGUAGUCCACGCCCUAGACGAUGGAUGCUAGUUGUUGGAGGGCUUAGUCUCUCCAGUAAUGCAACUAACGCAUUAAGCAUCCCGCCUGGGGAGUACGGUCGCAAGACUAAAACUCAAAGGAAUAGACGGGGACCCGCACAAGCGGUGGAGCAUGUGGUUUAAUUCGAAGAUACACGAAGAACCUUACCUAGGCUUGACAUUGAGAGAAUCCGCUAGAAAUAGUGGAGUGUCUGGCUUGCUAGACCUUGAAAACAGGUGCUGCACGGCUGUCGUCAGCUCGUGUCGUGAGAUGUUGGGUUAAGUCCCGCAACGAGCGCAACCCCCUUUCUUAGUUGCUAACAGGUCAUGCUGAGAACUCUAAGGAUACUGCCUCCGUAAGGAGGAGGAAGGUGGGGACGACGUCAAGUCAUCAUGGCCCUUACGCCUAGGGCUACACACGUGCUACAAUGGGGUGCACAAAGAGAAGCAAUACUGCGAAGUGGAGCCAAUCUUCAAAACACCUCUCAGUUCGGAUUGUAGGCUGCAACUCGCCUGCAUGAAGCUGGAAUCGCUAGUAAUCGCAAAUCAGCCAUGUUGCGGUGAAUACGUUCCCGGGUCUUGUACUCACCGCCCGUCACACCAUGGGAGUUGUGUUUGCCUUAAGUCAGGAUGCUAAAUUAGCUACUGCCCACGGCACACACAGCGACUGGGGUGAA
rnacentral:rRNA from 1 species